GAUGAACGCUGGCGGCGUGCCUAAUACAUGCAAGUCGAGCGAACUGAUUAGAAGCUUGCUUCUAUGACGUUAGCGGCGGACGGGUGAGUAACACGUGGGCAACCUGCCUGUAAGACUGGGAUAACUUCGGGAAACCGAAGCUAAUACCGGAUAGGAUCUUCUCCUUCAUGGGAGAUGAUUGAAAGAUGGUUUCGGCUAUCACUUACAGAUGGGCCCGCGGUGCAUUAGCUAGUUGGUGAGGUAACGGCCAACCAAGGCAACGAUGCAUAGCCGACCUGAGAGGGUGAUCGGCAACACUGGGACUGAGACACGGCCCAGACUCCUACGGGAGGCAGCAGUAGGGAAUCUUCCGCAAUGGACGAAAGUCUGACGGAGCAACGCCGCGUGAGUGAUGAAGGCUUUCGGGUCGUAAAACUCUGUUGUUAGGGAAGAACAAGUACAAGAGUAACUGCUUGUACCUUGACGGUACCUAACCAGAAAGCCACGGCUAACUACGUGCCAGCAGCCGCCGCAGUAA
rnacentral:rRNA from 1 species